rnacentral:pre_miRNA from 1 species
AAAAAAAUAAAUCCUAGAUUUCCGUGUCUAAUAUUUAACUGUUUGUUUUAUAUGAAAUUUUUUUAUAAUUAGUAUUUUUAUUGUUGUUAGAUGAUAAAACAUGAUUAAUACUUUAUGCGUGACUUGUCUUUUUAAAAUUUUUAUAAUUUUUUUAAAUAAAACGUUCUGUCAAAUGUUAGACACG